rnacentral:tRNA from 1 species
GGGGAGAUAGCUCAGUGGUUAAGAGCACUGAUGCUCUUCCAGAAGUCCUGAGCUCAAAUCCCAGCAACCCCU